AAACAGACACGUGUCCUGUGUACAUAUGUAGGAAUCUGGAGAACAGAUUUCAACUGCAACAAAAUGUAAAGCAAUGAAAACCAGAACGUCAUGCAUUCAGUCUGAUUGGGAUGUAUUUGUCCUGAAUUUAGCUGCAGGUUUUUCUGCUCCAUGUCUGGAUUCUUUGGGUCACAGUGAGAAGAAGUUUCCUUGUUGCUGCUGUUGGGAUGGUGACCCUGUUUCACCGCCAGGACUUCAAUAAAGUGGACAGUUAGAAGUGAAAGAGCUUCAGCUGCUCAGAGCAGCGGCUCAGGUUCCUCCUCUAAUUAUCCAAUCAGCAGGCGGCUCCAGGUGUUCAGCAGCUUUAUCAUCCUCAGGUGAGGCGGCAGUCUGCAGCAGCUUCCAGCCGCUCUUCGGUGCUUCCCGGCGGGCAGAGAGCAGCGCAGUGGACCGGAGCAUGUCGGCGGUUAACAGACGGAUGACGAUGGCCUGGGUUUGGCCCGCUUUGGUGCUUCUAGCCCGGCUCACCACGGCAGAGGAACCGCGUCGGGACGCACACGGGGCUUUGGCCGGCUCCAAGGCGCUGAUCUCGGACUCCGAGCCGCCGAUGGAGACCCGCAGCGGGGGAGGCUUCCUGCCGGUGCUGGUGUGGAAGUUUGUGAAAGAUGCUGCAGAUGCAUCAGAUUUGGGCCGACCGCAGUUUCUCUGCAGCGACACGUCACUCUCUGUUCGCUUGUCGCUCAUCCGAUACUCUGACCUGCAUCUGCAAGAUGGGAGGAGGUUGGCGUGGCUGCAGCAGGGAUGUGAUGGUUCUGUUGGGACCGUGGGGCCGUGGCUGCUGCUGAAGCUGCCUUACACCAGCUGCCAUGUGACAUCACAGGUUUCAAAUGGAACGUGGUUCCACCAGUUGAAGCUGCGUUACUUCGACCACCUGCUGCGGGAGAACAUGACGGCUGUGGUCGCCUGUGAGGAUCCUGCAACGUGGACCCUGCCGGCGGUGAGCUGCAGGAGCACAGAAGUGGCUGUGAAACUGCCUCAGGGAAGCAGACUGCAGAAGGUGAAGGCUCUGGGGAAAGAUGUGGUGGUUGGGAGGGUGCAGACCACCACUACUCCAGAGCCAGUGUUGGUGCAGAUCUCCACACCGGCAGACAAGGACUCCAUGUUUGAAGUGAUCUAUUUGGAUUCGGCUGGGGAGAUGUCCACGAUGCUGGCGGCUUGUUUCGGUGCAGCCAGAGGAGAUGGGCGGGAUCGUCGGCGCAGAGCUCUGCAACACCAGGACCAGUGGGACUGGGGGGUGAAUCCUCGUCAUUGGCACAAUGUGGAACCCCGACAGAUGGUGGACAAUUCCUCAGAAUACCUGGAUGCAUCAGAUGAUGGCCCUUCUGAUGAGGAUGAUAAAGAGUUGGAUGGUUAUGAGGAGGAUUCAGAUGACGAGUUGGAUGAAGAGCAGUCAGAUGAUGAGGAGUCUGAUGACGCCAACAACACAACAGCCAACAUGACUGAUGCCCAGACAAACUCCACAAUAGCAGCUCCAACCACAACACUGACGGUGGAAGCUGAAGAAACACUGAACUCCUCGAUGCCUGUAAAACCCAGACUGGGGAGAGGGUUGGCUGACAUGGAGACGUCUGGUGACUCUGAGGAGGAUGACGACACCUUUUCACCUGUAGGACCCAGACUGGGGAGAGAGAUGGAUGACAUGGAGGUGUCUGAUGAUUCUGAGAAUGAAGAGUACGAUGAAGAGGAGUACGAUGGUGAGGAUGACUAUUCCGAUGAUGCCGACUAUGAGGAUUCCACAAUGGCCAACAUCACUGAUGCCCAGUCUAAUGCCACAAUUGCAGCUUCAAACACAACUGAAGAAAUGCUGAACACCUUGCCACCUGUAGGACCCAGACUGGGGAGAGGGAUGGAUGACAUGGAGGUGUCUGAUGAUUCUGAGAAUGAAGAGUACGAUGAAGAGGAGUACGAUGGUGAGGAUGACUAUUCCGAUGAUGCCGACUAUGAGGAUUCCACAAUGGCCAACAUCACUGAUGCCCAGUCUAAUGCCACAAUUGCAGCUUCAAACACAACUGAAGAAAUGCUGAACACCUUGCCACCUGUAGGACCCAGACUGGGGAGAGGGAUGGAGGCAUCUGAUCUAGAAUUCAUGGAUAAUGAUGCUUCUGGGGAUGAGGCAUACGAUGAUGGUUCUUCUGGAGAUGAUUACUACGAUGAGGAUUCUGCAACAGCCAACAUGUUUGAUGCCGAGAUGAAUGCCUUGUUACCUUUUGAACCCAGACUGUGGCGAGGGAUGGAUGACCUGGAGGCAUCUGAUGACCCAGAGGACAUGGAGGAACAUGAGGAGGAUGAUGAUGAUGAUGAUGAUUCUGAGGAUGAUGAUUAUGACUCUGAGGAUGAUGACACCUUUUCACCUUUAGAACCCAGACUGGGGAGAGGGAUGGAUGACAUGGAGGCUUCUGAUCCAGAACUCAUGGAUGAUGAUGCUUCUGGGGAUGAGGCGUCUGGGGAUUACGACUCUUCUGGGGAUGACGAGCUGUCUGACAGCAGUGGUGAGGUCUCAGAUGAUUGAUGCUGACAGUUCCACAACCAGCACUUCCAUUACACAUCUGGACCAGUCCAUCCACAACUGCAGAGGUCCUUGGUCCGACUCCUUGUAUCUCCUCUUUCAAAUAAAGUAUAGCUUUGCAUCAGAUCCAGUCUACUUAUUUCUCAUGUAGAGCUUUUCUGCUUCCACAUAAAAUAGUGAACAUAUUGAGGUGAAAUGAAUAGCUUUGUAAUGUGAGGGUUGAUCGGUUUCAGAGCAGAAUUUAAAACCUUUCCCUCCUAUAAAGCCCUUAACGGUCCCAUCUGGUGCAAAUCCGUGUCUGUGUUUGGUAAUUCUUGACCAAUAGGGGUCCAGCUUUGUGUAGCCCUGCCCCAUCACUGUCCAGGUGAACCAUCAGACCGAGUAGCUGCCUCUGUCUUCCAGGUUUAUUUACUUCCUGCAGCUGCUAACUAAUGUCUGAACAAAAAAUAAAACCCACCAGAUGUCCUGUUGGUGGCAAGAGUGAACAUAAGAGUCUUCAUGCACUGCAGCAUCUGA
ensembl:lncRNA